rnacentral:rRNA from 1 species
UACGUAGGGGGCAAGCGUUGUCCGGAUUUAUUGGGCGUAAAGGGCGCGUAGGCGGUGCGGUAAGUCACCUGUGAAAUCUCCUGGCUCAACUGGGAGCUUGCAGGCGAAACUGCCGUGCUGGAGUGUGGGAGAGGUGCGUGGAAUUCCUGGUGUAGCGGUGAAAUGCGUAGAUAUCAGGAGGAACACCUGUGGCGAAAGCGGCGCACUGGACCACAACUGACGCUGAGGCGCGAAAGCGUGGGGAGCAAACAGG